rnacentral:rRNA from 1 species
CUACGGGACGCUGCAGUGAGGAAUUUUGCGCAAUGGGGGGAACCCUGACGCAGCAACGCCGCGUGAGUGAUGAAGGCUUUCGGGUCGUAAAGCUCUGUCAAGUGGGAAGAACCUAUGCAGUGUUAAUAUCACUGUAUACUGACGGUACCACUGAAGGAAGCACCGGCUAACUCCGUGCCAGCAGCCGCGGGUAAUACGGGGGGUGCAAGCGUUAUUCGGAAUCAUUGGGCGUAAAGGGCACGUAGGCGGCUUGGUAAGUCAGAUGUGAAAGCCCGGGGCUUAACCCCGGAAGUGCAUUUGAUACUGUCAGGCUUGAGUAUGGGAGAGGGAAGUGGAAUUCCUGGUGUAGAGGUGAAAUUCGUAGAUAUCAGGAGGAACACCGGUGGCGAAGGCGACUUCCUGGACCAAUACUGACGCUGAGGUGCGAAGGCGUGGGUAGCAAACAGGAUUAGAUACCCCAGUAGUC